AGCAACAAGUCACAUGAUAUCACUGUACUGUUAUAGUGAACCUGACUGGUUGUCAUGGGCAUUUAUUGUAUGAUAUCCAGUGGGGAAGAUCUAUGAAAACUAGUGCAAAGGUGGAAAGUGUUCCUGACGGCUCCUUCGUAUCUCUCUGAGCGGGUCUUGAAGUACAGCAGGACAAUGCUCCAUGCCACACAGCCAGAACAACAAGGUGUGGAUGGAGGACCACCAGAUCAAGACCCUAUCAUGGCAAAUCCAAUCCCCAGACCUGAAUUCCAUUGAAAACCUCUGGAAUUUGAUUAAGAAAAAAGAAACCAUCAAACAAAUCCGAGCGACUUGAAUUGUUGUGCAAACAGUGGUGUAAAGUCACCCAACAGCAAUGUGACAGACUGGCUGAGAACAAGACGCAAGCUGGCAUUAAAAAAAAAAAAAAAAAAAAAAA